rnacentral:rRNA from 1 species
GACGAACGCUGGCGGCGCGCUUAACACAUGCAAGUCGAACGGAAAGGCCCUGCUUUUGUGGGGUGCUCGAGUGGCGAACGGGUGAGUAACACGUGAGUAACCUGCCCUUGACUUUGGGAUAACUUCAGGAAACUGGGGCUAAUACCGGAUAGGAGCUCCUGCUGCAUGGUGGGGGUUGGAAAGUUUCGGCGGUUGGGGAUGGACUCGCGGCUUAUCAGCUUGUUGGUGGGGUAGUGGCUUACCAAGGCUUUGACGGGUAGCCGGCCUGAGAGGGUGACCGGCCACAUUGGGACUGAGAUACGGCCCAGACUCCUACGGGAGGCAGCAGUGGGGAAUAUUGCACAAUGGGCGGAAGCCUGAUGCAGCAACGCCGCGUGCGGGAUGACGGCCUUCGGGUUGCAAACCGCUUUCGCCUGUGACGAAGCGUGAGUGACGGUAAUGGGUAAAGAAGCACCGGCUAACUACGUG